rnacentral:rRNA from 1 species
UACGUAGGUGGCAAGCGUUGUCCGGAAUUAUUGGGCGUAAAGCGCGCGCAGGUGGUUUCUUAAGUCUGAUGUGAAAGCCCACGGCUCAACCGUGGAGGGUCAUUGGAAACUGGGGAACUUGAGUGCAGAAGAGGAAAGUGGAAUUCCAAGUGUAGCGGUGAAAUGCGUAGAGAUUUGGAGGAACACCAGUGGCGAAGGCGGCGAUCUGGGCUGAUACUGACGCUGAGGUGCGAAAGCGUGGGGAGCAAACAGG